rnacentral:ncRNA from 1 species
GAGAGAUUUGAACUCUCAUAGAAAAAUAAUUCUAUUAGAACCUAAAUCUAAUGCGUAUACCUAUUUUUUUCUAAGGUAGCCAAAUGCCUCGUCAUCUAAUUAGUGACGUGCAUGAAUGGAUUAACGAGAUUCCCACU